GCCCGGAUGGUGGAAUGGUAGACACGAAGGACUUAAAAUCCUUUGGCUUCACGGCUGUGCGGGUUCAAGUCCCGCUUCGGGUACAA
rnacentral:tRNA from 1 species